AGAGUGUUAUAUAAUGAAAACGUACUUGAAUUUUAACAAAGCGAUUGUUCUAAAAAUCGCCAACCCUAAAAGCGACGCCAUAUCCACUCUAUGCCCCCAAACAUGAACACGAACUCCCGUAUUGCGUGAACUCUUCAGGUGCAUCCUAAUCAAAGAGAAUGAAGAAAGAUACUCUCGAGGACGUGCGCGCUUCAUUGUUACCGUGAUGGCGUCAGCAAUAUUUGGGGACAACUGGUGCAAAGGAUCUGACGUCAUCAAGGAACUGGCCAUCAAAUGAUAUAAUAAAAAAAUAUUUGAACAAUAAAGCUAUAGUGCGCAGACGUGAAUGUAUAUGGUCGCUGAGAUAAACGUUUUUAAAAUCGGUCGAAUCAAAUGUAUUAUUAAAAUUAUUUAAAAAAAAAAACAUAAUCACAAAUCAUUUAUACAAGGGUAAAUCAUUUAUACAAAUGUAAAACUUAAUAAAAAUUGUAAUUGAAUAAUAAUUACUAAAGGACUCUGAA